rnacentral:rRNA from 1 species
UCCGUAGGGGGCAAGCGUUGUCCGGAAUUACUGGGCGUAAAGAGCUUGUAGGUGGUUUGUCGCGUUGUUCGUGAAAUCUCACGGCUUAACUGUGAGCGUGCGGGCGAUACGGGCAGACUAGAGUACUGCAGGGGAGACUGGAAUUCCUGGUGUAGCGGUGGAAUGCGCAGAUAUCAGGAGGAACACCGGUGGCGAAGGCGGGUCUCUGGGCAGUAACUGACGCUGAGGAGCGAAAGCAUGGGGAGCGAACAGG